AGUGAACGCUGGCGGUAGGCCUAACACAUGCAAGUCGAACGGCAGCACAGUAAGCGCUUGCUCUUACGGGUGGCGAGUGGCGGACGGGUGAGGAAUACAUCGGAAUCUACUUUUUCGUGGGGGAUAACGUAGGGAAACUGACGCUAAUACCGCAUACGACCUACGGGUGAAAGCAGUGGAUCUUCGGACCUUGCGCGAUUGAAUGAGCCGAUGUCGGAUUAGCUAGUUGGCGGGGUAAAGGCCCACCAAGGCGACGAUCCGUAGCUGGUCUGAGAGGAUGAUCAGCCACACUGGAACUGAGACACGGUCCAGACUCCUACGGGAGGCAGCAGUGGGGAAUAUUGGACAAUGGGCGCAAGCUUGAUCCAGCCAUACCGCGUGGGUGAAGAAGGCCUUCGGGUUGUAAGGCCCUUUUGUUGGGAAAGAAAAGCAGCAUGUUAAUACCCCGCUGUUCUGACGGUACCCAAAGAAUAAGCACCGGCUAACUUCGUG
rnacentral:rRNA from 1 species